UGACUUCGUUAUGAAGCAUAGGUUGGUUUACUAGCAGCUCACUUCUAAGACCGGAGUCUCUUAAGCUUAGAGUUCCUCCAAAGUGACACAAAUCCACUGUGUGUGCAGCAGUCAUGUGGGCCUGCCUCUGCGUCAUUCCCCGUGGGACUCAGGGGCCAAUGGGAACUGAAGUAAACAUUUACAUCUAGCAGGGAUGUGGUCUUGGAAAAAUUGUGGCCUUUUUAAGUCUUGAAUUAUCAAUUUCUUUAAGUGCCUCCUUCCAAAAGUCAUUGAAAUCUCUUGUGAAGAUGAUAGGGAAUAAAGGGUAACUGGAACAGGAGUUCCACAGUAACUGGAACAUGAGAGGUAGAGCCUGAAGCUUACUAUAAAGAUCCUAAUCUUUGCUGAACAAAUACUAAUGAAUCAGCUUAUAGGGUGCUACCCUAGACAUCACUGGAGUGUUGACAAUGCAGUUUGUUCUACCAUAAUGAUGUCUUAUUAAAAUUGUGCACAUGCAAAAGGCUUAUAUACGAAAUUUCCAGAUGCCAUGAAGGAGGGUAGAGCAGUGAGUUCGUUUGCUUAUAAAAUUGGGCUCUGACAACGUCCCUGCAGGCUUGAGC
rnacentral:lncRNA from 13 species